GGGAGGGAUGCUCGCCCCAUCGCUCCCUCCCCAGCCCCUGCUCCGCCAGGCCGGGCAUCUCCCUCCGAGCCCCGGCGCUGGAUGUGCUCCAGGGAGCCGGCUUUGGCUGCUCCGAGAAGCCUGAGACGCCUCCCCGGACUCCGCUCUCCGGAGCGAAGGGGAAAGGAGACAAAUGUCGCUCAUUCAAGGUGAAGGGCAGUGCUGGCAUGAUGGAAAAGCAGCCUGUGCUCUCUGCCAAAGACUGGAGACCUUCCUGAAGAUUCACUGCUCUCCGGUUUUCUUUAUGCUCUUAUUUUAGAGCUUAUGGAAAGAAGAGGCUGAUAAUCAAGAGAGAGAUUGUGCCAAUAUAUCCAGCUAGAGACUGCACUGAGAAUUACCUCCAGGUCUCCGGAGAUGCAAGCCCAGUGUGCAAAGCACUCUGCCUGCUGCUGAUUUAACCCUGCCCGUUUGGAUCCCAGCCCCUGAGGAUGAUGAGGCACUUUUCCUCCACACCAUCCCAAAAGGAGCUGAAGAACUUCAGAAAUGAAACUCUGCUUUGAAGGUGUCCCAGUGGUCACCUCACUUCUCUGGGAGGCAGUUUGGCAACUGAAAGCCAAGCCGGGGAGCAGAGCCAAGCUCCCCAAAAAUAGUCUGGAAGAAACUAAAGCAAGGUUGAAGAUUUAAAAAGGAUCCUCAGAGCCCAGCACAUCAGUUGUUCUGAUGGAGGCUUUUUCAAGUCUCCCCUGUUGGCGUGAGGCCCUAUACAGCAAAAAAACUGCAAACAGCUGUUUCUUUCCUUUCUCUCCUGCUUCUCCCAUGGGGCAGGUGGAGGGGAACACACCGUGAAGAAGGGAAGCUCAAGGCCUCACCAUCAGCUUGAGCUGCUCUGCUCAGUGUGCCCACACCCACACACCUCUCCAACAGCAACCAGCUACCCCAGAGAAGGUGUGAUCUUGACACAUUGCAUGGAUCCAUGCAGAAGGAUGGCAACACGAGGGUGAAUAUCAAAGCCUGGGAAUAUAUCAAGUUUGAGUAAAGGCUUGCCUGCGUGAUGAAAUGUUCAUGGAGUGGCACACUGAUGACGGAGGAAAGAUGCAAAAGGCAGCCCAUCAUAACUUUGUGCUACCAAGCAUCCUGGAAAUGCUAAUUAAAACGAGUGGAGGGGGAGGAGCCUGCUAGCAGGAUCGCAGCCUUGCUUGGAUUGAGUAACAAAUGUGUAGUAGGCAUCCGUGUUUUCCUCUACAUGUGUCUUCCAAGCUGAGUUGGCUGAAAAUGUUGCAGUUUUGUGAAAUCCACACAGAGUAGGAUGCAAACACAGACUAGAUAGAGAGGCAAGGUCUAGUCAUGAAGCUGGAAUAGAAAAAGCCACGACAGUCUUCGGCAAAUAAAUAAAUAACUGCCCGAAAUGAGGGCUAAUUAACUUGCAAUAAACCAACUUAACCACUUAGGGGCAGCGUUAACACAGAGUUAACAUGCAAAACAAACCUGUACUUUCUCACCUGGUUAAUUUAACAUGCGCCGUGAAUAUUCAUAGUGUGUGGAAUCCUGCUACAUCAACACAGCAAACGAUGCAGUCUGUCAAAACCGGAACGCGUGGCAAGAGGAGUAACUCAGCGGGGCUCGCACGGCGCUGACUUUGAUCAGUCACUGCUCCCAAACACAUCCAGAGAGGAGGCAGGACUCUGCUGCUUUCCCUCCGCCGGGGUCACAGAGUGUGUUCUGUACGAAGAUAAAAACCCAGAAAAAAAAAUAAGACAGAAAAGAGCUUCACUUAAAAUAAACAUUAAAAAAAUCAAACAGAAAAAAAAAGGUGUCUUUGAGAAAUGCUGCUCUUGCAUGCAGGAGCUGAACUCCCCAUUUUAUCUCUGUGGCCACAUUCAGAGUCACUUUGCUCUCAGACAAUACGUUUCUUUCCCUACAUUGCAUGCAGAAAUGUCCCAGUUCCUCGGAUUCCUCUGAAACAUUUCCCUGCAUAAAAAGGAGCCCAGACCUGUUUCAGGUAUGUUUGCACUUCUAGAUCAGAACACGUAAAUAAAGAAAAGGUACCUUUUUUUUAGUGU